UACGUAGGGUGCGAGCGUUGUCCGGAAUUACUGGGCGUAAAGAGCUCGUAGGUGGUUUGUCGCGUUGUCCGUGAAAACUCACAGCUCAACUGUGGGCGUGCGGGCGAUACGGGCAGACUGGAGUACUGUAGGGGAGACUGGAAUUCCUGGUGUAGCGGUGAAAUGCGCAGAUAUCAGGAGGAACACCGGUGGCGAAGGCGGGUCUCUGGGCCGAUACUGACGCUGAGGAGCGAAAGCGUGGGGAGCGAACAGG
rnacentral:rRNA from 1 species